rnacentral:rRNA from 1 species
AUUGAACGCUGGCGGCAUGCCUUACACAUGCAAGUCGAACGGCAGCAUGCUCUAGCUUGCUAGAUUGAUGGCGAGUGGCGAACGGGUGAGUAAUACAUCGGAACGUGCCCUGUAGUGGGGGAUAACUAGUCGAAAGAUUAGCUAAUACCGCAUACGACCUGAGGGUGAAAGUGGGGGACCGCAAGGCCUCAUGCUAUAGGAGCGGCCGAUGUCUGAUUAGCUAGUUGGUGAGGUAAAGGCUCACCAAGGCGACGAUCAGUAGCUGGUCUGAGAGGACGAUCAGCCACACUGGGACUGAGACACGGCCCAGACUCCUACGGGAGGCAGCAGUGGGGAAUUUUGGACAAUGGGCGAAAGCCUGAUCCAGCAAUGCCGCGUGUGUGAAGAAGGCCUUCGGGUUGUAAAGCACUUUUGUCCGGAAAGAAAUGGCUCUGGUUAAUACCUGGGGUGGAUGACGGUACCGGAAGAAUAAGAACCGGCUAACUACGUG